AGUGAACGCUGGCGGUAGGCCUAACACAUGCAAGUCGAACGGCAGCACAGUAAGAGCUUGCUCUUACGGGUGGCGAGUGGCGGACGGGUGAGGAAUACAUCGGAAUCUACUUUUUCGUGGGGGAUAACGUAUGGAAACUUACGCUAAUACCGCAUACGACCUACGGGUGAAAGCAGGGGAUCUUCGGACCUUGCGCGAUUGAAUGAGCCGAUGUCGGAUUAGCUAGUUGUCGGGGUAAAGGCCCACCAAGGCGACGAUCCGUAGCUGGUCUGAGAGGAUGAUCAGCCACACUGGAACUGAGACACGGUCCAGACUCCUACGGGAGGCAGAAGUGGGGAAUAUUGGACAAUGGGCGCAAGCCUGAUCAAGCCAUACCGCGUGGGUGAAGAAGGCCUUCGGGUUGUAAAGCCCUUUUGUUGGGAAAGAAAAGCAGCAGGUUAAUACCCCGCUGUUCUGACGGUACCAAAAGAAUAAGCACCGGCUAACUUCGUG
rnacentral:rRNA from 1 species